GUGCUCCCAAGUAGCCUAAAAUUCUCAUUUCUUGAUCCUUUAAAUGGGCCUAGUGAAUGCUUGUACCCAUCCACACCACAACCUUCUCAGCAAGCCCCGGGUAAUUUUGUGGCUUGGGCCCACUUAAGCUUGUGGCAUAGCUUGGUGUUAGAAUAAUGGUUCUUCUUGCAUGACAUUUACGCUUGUGCUUGAGUUUUAUUAUUAUGUCGUGAUAG
rnacentral:lncRNA from 1 species